GUCCGCAUGGUGUAAUGGUAACAGCCCUUCGGUUCCUGAGGAGGUGGCGUGGGUUCGAUUCCCACUGUAGACA